GUCAUACCUUCUCUCGACCCGCGCAGCUCCGGCCCUGCCAUCUGUCCUGUCCCUCCACUGCCAUGGUGUGCAGGCGUCCGGCAGACAUCACGCGCAAGCACGUAUGCUUUUGCAAGCUAGGGGGCGUGCGUCUUACUUUUCUCUGGCUUCUUAAAGGGGAAAUACAAUUUUUUACAAUUGAAAUAGCACUCUAUUUAAUUACUGCCCUAUUAGGUUCCCUAGCCUAUCAGCUCUCACUUAGCCUAUUUAUACCUCCCUCUUUCAUCACUUCCUUGCCCGGUCAUUGACUUUUGUAGCCUGAGAGUGCGUUUUGUUGGUUUGUCUUUUCUGGUAUCUAAGUUCGGCUUGUUUCCUGGUUAUCCAUCCUUCUGGCAUUCUUGACCCUUGGCUUUGUUCUUAGUUUUUUUUUUUCCGUCUCCUGUCCUGACCUUGGCUCGUCUGACCAUUCUGUUCUGAUCUCUGUACUUUCACAUGUUAAGUCCGGCCAUUCCAAGAACCAGUAAUAUGUCUGGCUUUGUGUAUCUACUGAGCCUCUUAGUUUGCGUACUGGGGAGAUUGACCUUGACAGAGGUGCUACAGAAAAGGGCAGGUAGACAGCUGUCUACUGACAAAAUCAGAACUAAAUUGCCCUAGAGCCAAACUUCCCUGCCACUAAUUUCUAGCCCUGUAGCAGAUGGUGGUUGAGAAGUAUUUGUCGAAUCAUCGAGCCAGAUUUAUACAUUAAGAAGCCAAUCUGAGUGGGGUAAAAUCAAACAAAAGACACAUCCUACAUUCAUCUGUUUCUAAGACCAAGGUGACUUCAAUUGAACUAAAAACAUUCUAUUUAGUGCAAAUGCAUAUUCGAAUUUCAGCAACUCAUAUUUU